rnacentral:rRNA from 1 species
GUGGGGAAUCUUGCACAAUGGGCGAAAGCCUGAUGCAGCGACGCCGCGUGCGGGAUGAAGGCCUUCGGGUUGUAAACCGCUUUCAGCAGGGACGAAAUUGACGGUACCUGCAGAAGAAGCCCCGGCCAACUACGUGCCAGCAGCCGCGGUAAUACGUAGGGGGCGAGCGUUGUCCGGAUUUAUUGGGCGUAAAGAGCUCGUAGGCGGUUUGGUAAGUCGGGUGUGAAAUCUCCACGCUCAACGUGGAGGGGCCACUCGAUACUGCCCUGACUAGAGUCCGGUAGAGGAGUAUGGAAUUCCCGGUGUAGCGGUGAAAUGCGCAGAUAUCGGGAGGAACACCAGUAGCGAAGGCGGUACUCUGGGCCGGAACUGACGCUGAGGAGCGAAAGCGUGGGGAGCAAACAGGAUUAGAAACCCGAGUAGUCC